UCCGUAGGCGGGUAAUUAAGUCAGAGGUGAAAUCCCACAGCUUAACUGUGGAACUGCCUUAGAUACUGGUUAUCUUGAGUUUUAGUGAAGUAGAUAGAAUGUGUAGUGUAGCGGUGAAAUGCAUAGAUAUUACACAGAAUACCGAUUGCGAAGGCAGUCUACUAACUAACAACUGACGCUAAUGGACGAAAGCGUGGGGAGCGAACAGGAUUAGAUACCCUGGUAGUC
rnacentral:rRNA from 1 species